rnacentral:rRNA from 1 species
UCGGUGCCGGGAAAGUUAAACGCCAUUUUAAGUUGCCCCCCGCCCUGGGGGGAGCACCGGGCCCGCAAGGGCUAAAAAAAUUCAAAAGGAAAUUGGCGGGGGCCCCGCACAAAUGCGGGGGGAGCCUUUUGUCUUUAAUUUGAAGGCAACCGCGAAGAACCUUACCAGGGCUUCACCCUAACCCGGAAAGCAUCAGAGAAUGUGCCCCCCCUUGUGUUCGGUGUACAGGGUGGUGCAUGUCUGUCGUCAGCUCGUUUUGUGAGAUGCUCGGUUAAGUCCCGCAACGAGCGCAACCCUUUCCCGUGUUGCCAGCAACUUUUCGGAGGUUGGGGACUCACGGGAGACCGCCGGGGUCAUCUCGGAGGAAGGUGGGGACGACGUCAAGUCAUCAUGCCCCUUAUGUCUUGGGCUGCACACGUGCUACAAUGGCCGGUACAAUGAGCUGCGAUACCGCAAGGUGGAGCGAAUCUCAAAAAGCCGGUCUCAGUUCGGAUUGGGGUCUGCAACUCGACCCCAUGAAGUCGGAGUCGCUAGUAAUCGCAGAUCAGCAUUGUUGCGGUGAAUACGUUCCCGGGCCUUGUACACACCGCCCUUCACGUGGGAGAAAGUCGGUAACACCCGAAG